rnacentral:rRNA from 1 species
GAUGAACGCUAGCGGCAGGCUUAACACAUGCAAGUCGAGGGGUAUAGGUUUUCGGACCUAGAGACCGGCGCACGGGUGCGUAACGCGUAUGCAAUCUACCUUUCACAGAGGGAUAGCCCAGAGAAAUUUGGAUUAAUACCUCAUAGUAUAGCAGUUUCGCAUGAAACCACUAUUAAAGUAUCAACGGUGAAAGAUGAGCAUGCGUCCCAUUAGCUAGAUGGUAAGGUAACGGCUUACCAUGGCUACGAUGGGUAGGGGUCCUGAGAGGGAGAUCCCCCACACUGGUACUGAGACACGGACCAGACUCCUACGGGAGGCAGCAGUGAGGAAUAUUGGUCAAUGGACGCAAGUCUGAACCAGCCAUGCAGCGUGCAGGAUGACGGUCCUAUGGAUCGUAAACUGCUUUUGUACGAGAAGAAACAACAUUACGUGUAAUGUCUUGACGGUAUCGUAAGAAUAAGGAUCGGCUAACUCCGUGCCAGCCGCCGCAGUAAAAC